UAUAAAUAUAUAUAUAUAUAAAUAUAUAUUUAAAUAUAUUUUAAAUAAAGUACUUUAUUUUCAUCAUAGAAAGAACGGCAAACUGUUUAAGAACACAGAGGGCAACUCAGAGGUGAGGUCACGUCGAGCACAGACGACUUUCCUGCCAUUCUGCUAACAAUGCAUUUGCUCAGUGCCUGGAACACAGCGAGUGACUGUUGAUGUCGGUGUCAAACAUCUCGUCAGACACUGUUUGCAGCCACUCAGGAGGCAGCGCUCGAGGGAUUCUACCAUUUCAGAAGCAUUCGCUAUUGUCAACACCACUAAAUGAAAUUCAUCGUGGCAUGUUUUCUAGGUCACUAUGGAGGAGAUUUUGGGUGAGGUAAGGUAUAAUUGCAUUCUUUCCCACUGCAGUCUUGCCUCUGGUCUCCCUCUAACUUUUGUUAUGCUCCUUUGCAUUCACUAUUUCUUAUAGCACAAUAACGUUUCAUAAUGUUCAUGUACCACAUCUUUUUUCAACCAUUUCCCAAUCAAUGAGCAUCUAUUUUGCUUCUAGUUCUUUGUUACCACAAAAUGUGUUAUUAAAAAUGAUUUUGUUUUUUCAUUUUUUUUCUGAUGCUACCUUUCCUAGUCUGUUUCAUUAAUCUACUUUCCAGGAUGUUUAUAAAUACCAAAUGAUUUUGGGCAUUGCUAUUUUAUUUAUUUUUAUUUUUUAUAAAACCCUUACCUUCCAUCUUAGAAUCAAUACUGUAUAUUGGUUCUAAGGCAGAAGGAUGGUAAGGGCUAGGCAAUGAGGGUCAAGUGACUUGCCCAGGGUCACACAGCUAGGAAGUGUCUGAAAUCAGAUUUGAACCCAGGACCUCCAGUCUCUGGGCCUGGCUCUCAAUUCAUUGAGCUACCCAGCUGCCCCCGAACAUUGCUAUUUUAAAAUAAACUCUAGCACUAGAAGUGCUAUAGCCCUUAA
rnacentral:lncRNA from 1 species